rnacentral:lncRNA from 1 species
GCUAUGUGUUGGUCUGAUCAUAUGAAAAAUGUGGCAGAAAGAGAACUAUCCUACGUAUCUAGGUAGGCUUUCUCAUCGGCCACCUAGAAAUAAGAUUCUGAUGCCCCAAAUAUGGCACAGAAGUUGCAGAGCUGUGCUAAGCAGCACAAUGGACCACUCUGCUAUAAAACAAGAUGGGUGGACAAUUGAUAUCCAGAGGGGCCCACCUUGAUCCUGGGUGCUGAAACUUUGGCCCAACUGGUGAGAGGUAGGAGUUGGAAUGGGUCCUAGACUUAGGAAGCAAAACUCCCCCCAAAAACUACAUUUGAUUGCUGGCAAGAUGGCUGAAUAGGAACAGCUCUGGUCUGCAGCUCCCAGAGAGAUCGCGCAGAAGUGUAAACAAAGCCACGGGGAAGUUUGAACUGGGCGGAGUCCACCACAGCUCAGCAAGUCCGCUGCAGCCAGACUGACUCUCUAGACAGGGCAUCUCUGAAAAAACGACAGCAGCCCCAGUCAGGGACUUACAGAUAAAACCCUCAUCUCCCUGGGACAGAGCACCUGGGGGAAGGGGCGGCUGUGGGCACAGCUUCAGCGGACUUAAGCUCUACUGCCUGACAGCUCUUAAGAGAGCAGCGGAUCUCCCAGCACAGCGUUCAAGCUCUGGUAAGGGACAGGCUGCCUCCUCAAAUGGAGCCCUGACCCCUGUGUAUCCUGACUGGGAGACACCUCCCAGUAGGGGCCGACAGACACCUCAUACAGGAGAGCUCUUGCUGGCAUCUGGCAGGUGCCCCUCUGGGAUGAAGCUUCCAGAGGACGGAACAGGCAGCAAUCUUUGCUGUUCUGCAGCUCCGCUGGUGAUACCCAGGAAAACAGGGUCUGGAGUGGACCUCCAGCAAACUCCAGCAGACCUGCAGAAGAGGAGCCUGUUAGAAGGAAAACUAACUAACAGAAAGAAAUAGUAGCAACAUCGACAAAAAGGACGUCCACUCAGAAAUCCCAUCUGAAUGUCACCAACAUCAAAGACCAAAGCUAGAAAAAUCCACAAAGAUAGGGAGAAACCAGCGCUAAAAGGCUGAAAACUCCAAAAAUCAGAAGGCCUCUUCUCCUCCAAAGGAUCACAACUCCUCGCCAGCAAGGGAACAAAACUGGUGGAGAAUGAGUUUGACGAAUUGACAGUAGUAGCUUCAGAAGGUGGGUAAUAACAAACUCCUCUGAGCUGAAGAAGCAUGUUCUAACCCAAUGCAAAGAAGCUAAGAACGUUGAAAAAAAGUUAGAGGAAUUGCUAACUAGAAUAACAAGUUUAGAGAAGAACAUAAAUGAUCUGAUGGAGCUGAAAAACACAGCCAAGAACUUCGGGAAGCAUACACAAGUAUCAACAGCCAAAUCGAUCAAGCGGAAGAAAGCAUAUCAGAGAUUGAAGAUCAACUCAAUGAAAUAACACAAGAAGGCAAGAGUAGAGAAAAAAGAGUGAAAAGAAAUGAACAAAGCCUCCAAGAGAUAUGGGACUAUAUAUGAAAAGAUCAAAUCUACUUUUGAUUGGUGUACCUGAAAGUGACGGGGAGAAUGGAACCAAGGUGGAAAACACACUUCAGGAUAUUAUCCAGGAGAACUUCCCCAACCUAACAAGGCAGGCCAACAUACAAAUUCAGGAAAUACAGAGAACAACACAAAGAUAUUCCUCGAGAAGAGCAACCCCAAGACACAUAAUCGUCAGAUUCACCAAGGUUGAAAUGAAGGAAAAAAUGUUAAGUGCAUCCAGAGAGAAAGGCUGGGUUCAUAACCCUUAAAGAUAGAAACAUUUCCCCUCUGUAGGUGGCUCCUAAAACCCUGGACAUUUUACAUACUGGAGUCAGAUUCAAAAAUAAACUAUUUCCUUAUAUACCUGCCUCCUUUUUGAAAUAACGUUCCUUAUUUUUCUUAUCACCAGAUAUGGUUGCUGUUUUUUUCCCUCAAUUUGAUCAUUUGUUUUCCCUCUGGGACAUAAAAGUUGUGAUGAGGACUGGAAGUGGGAUCUAUAAACUGACUAGCACAGAGCCUAGCACUUG